GCAUAAAGAGCCACGUAGCCGGUCAAUUAAGUCUGAUGCGAAAGCCCUCGGCCCAACCCGGGGAACUGCAUUGGAUACUGGUUGACUAGAGGAUAGGAGGGGUGAGUGGAACUCCUGGUGGAACGGUGAAAUGUGUAGAUAUCAGGAGGAACACCGGUGGCGAAAGCGGCUCACUGGCCUGUCUCUGACGCUGAGGUGCGAAAGCUAGGGGAGCGAACGGGAUUAGAUACCCCGGUAGUCCUAGCCGUAAACGAUGGGCACUAGGUAAUGGAUUUACCCUAUGGGAUUCAUUGCCGUAGCCAAUGUAUUAAGUGCCCCGCCUGGGGAGUACGCUCGCAAGGGUAAAACUCAAAGGAAUUGACGGGGGAUCACACAAGCGGUGGAGCAUGUGGUUUAAUUCGAAGCAACGCGAAGAACCUUACCUGGCCUUGACAUACUUGGAUUAGCUCUAUGAAAGUAGAGUGACAGCUCUUCGGAGUUGGAACUUGUACAGGUGUUGCAUGGCUGUCGUCAGCUCGUGUCGUGAGAUGUUGGGUUAAGUCCCGUAACGAGCGUAACCCUUGUCGUUAGUUGCCAGCGGGUAAUGCCGGGGACUCUAGCGAGACUGCCGUUGUCAAAACGGAGGAAGGUGGGGACGACGUCAAGUCAUCAUGGCCCUUAUGGCCAGGGCGACACACGUGCUACAAUGGUCGGUACAAAGGGUUCCAAACUCGCAAGAGCAAGGCAAUCCCAUAAAGCCGACCCCAGUUCGGAUUGCAGGCUGAAAUUCGCCUGCAUGAAGCCGGAAUCGCUAGUAAUCGCGUAUCAGCCAUGACGCGGUGAAUAUGUUCCUGAUCCUUGUACACACCGCCCGUCAAGCCACGGAAGCGGGGAGCGCUCGAAGUCGUUUGCCCAACCCUCGGGAGGACGGCGCCGAAAGCGA
rnacentral:rRNA from 1 species